GGAGGGUUCUGGCUGGGAGCUCAGCGGUAGGUCUUGUGGGUUCCUUAUACCUUGGGGUCCCCCUCACCGGCCCUUCCUACUCCUCAAGCCCCCUUCUUCAGUCCCAUCGUCCUCUGACACCAGCACAAUGGUGGCCCCGCGUGGCCGGGACGCGCGCCGCCCUCCCCUACGCUCCUUGGCGGCCAUCUUAGGGAAGAGAACGAGUGCCUGGAAAUUGGUACAAAGAGACGUGGGAUCAGUAGAGAUGUUUGCUCAGAAUCCAGCCACGGUGCUGUGAAGAUGCCCAGACUUCCCCAUGGAGAGGCCCACAGAUAGAGGAACCAGAGCUAGCACCAACUUGCCAGCCAUCGAGUGGACCAUCUUGGAUGUGGACCUUCCAAAUCCCAGGAAGUCAUCCCCGGGAUGCUGCAUGGAGCAAGGACAAACUGUCCCUGCCAAACCCCAUCCAAAUUGCAGAUUUGUGAGCAAAAUAAAUUAUUAUUUUAUCAUUUUA